rnacentral:rRNA from 1 species
UACGAGUGGUGCAAGCGUUAUUCGGAAUUAUUGGGCGUAAAGGGUGUGUAGGUGGUAUGUUAAGUCAGCUGUUAAAUUCUUCGGCCUAACCGGAGGUCAGCAGCAGAUACUGAUGUGCUUGAGACUGGAAGAGAGAAGUGGAAUUCUCGGAGUAGCGGUAAAAUGCGUAGAUCUCGAGAGGAACACCAAUGGCGAAGGCAGCUUCUUGGGCCAAGUCUGACACUGAAACACGAAAGCGUGGGGAGCAAACAGG